ACUAGCAUACUGUGCUAAUUUCCUGAAGCAGGACUUCUGAUCGAGAUUUGUGGGCUCGUGUGGACGACUCCUAGAGGCCGGACGCAUGUGCGGCUUGCAACAUCAUCCUUAUACCCGGAUCAGCAAGGUUAGAGCAUCUAACUUGCAAGGUAAUAGAUCUGAUCUAUUGUUUAAUACAUACAUUAGAUGUGGUAUAGAAACAUGUUGAUAUGAUCAACAUGUAGUUCAUGCUAUAUUUAUAUAUUUUAAUUUCUGAUUAAAUGCUAUGUAAUAAUCAUGUAAUAGGAUC
rnacentral:lncRNA from 1 species